rnacentral:lncRNA from 1 species
CUCUCAGACUGGAAGACCUUUCUGAAGUCAGUUCCAGACAUCCCUGGAAGGCUGGAUAAUUUGGGAAAAGGCUGACUCAAUGUAAGGACUCUGCCUGAGAAAUUUUAUACAUUCCUCCAAAGAAAAAAAAUACAGAAAAGCUGUUUCAAAACCAAAAUCUCCUUAUUUUCCCAGAAUAGAAUGAGAGGAAGAAACUAAAAUCGAGAGAGGUUAAUAAUUGUGCCCGAGGCUACACAGCUACUAAGCAAACCAGAUCUAUGCUCAAAGCCCAUGCAGGACUGUAACCACGGUGCAAGAUCAAUCCUCCUGCUUGGAGAACUGAUCCAACUCCACACCUGUAUCUUCAGGUUGGACUCGCUUCUUCAACCCAUGUACAUGUCCAGUAUUCCUUCAUCAUUGACAAAUACCUUCCUUUGACUUUACUGAUUCUCUGACUACCACCUUUUCAAUGAAGGUAUUUUUUCAGUCAACCAUUUUAACAAAUUCAUCUUUGCUUGGUCUCCAAUUCCUCUCCUUGAAGUUGCUCUUCACAUCACUAUAAACCAGCUUUUGAUCUCAUUGCUUCUUAGAGAGUUAGUAAAAAAAAUGGAUAGAAUAAUAGUU